rnacentral:rRNA from 1 species
GUGGGGAAUUUUGGACAAUGGGCGCAAGCCUGAUCCAGCAAUGCCGCGUGCAGGAAGAAGGCCUUCGGGUUGUAAACUGCUUUUGUCAGGGAAGAAAUCUUCUGGGCUAAUACCCCGGGAGGAUGACGGUACCUGAAGAAUAAGCACCGGCUAACUACGUGCCAGCAGCCGCGGUAAUACGUAGGGUGCGAGCGUUAAUCGGAAUUACUGGGCGUAAAGCGUGCGCAGGCGGCUUUGCAAGACAGAUGUGAAAUCCCCGGGCUCAACCUGGGAACUGCAUUUGUGACUGCAAGGCUAGAGUACGGCAGAGGGGGAUGGAAUUCCGCGUGUAGCAGUGAAAUGCGUAGAUAUGCGGAGGAACACCAAUGGCGAAGGCAAUCCCCUGGGCCUGUACUGACGCUCAUGCACGAAAGCGUGGGGAGCAAACAGGAUUAGAUACCCGUGUAGUCC